rnacentral:rRNA from 1 species
ACGGGGUGCAGCAGGCGCGAAAACUCCGCAAUACACGAAAGUGUGACGGGGGAACCCCGAGUGCACUCACGCAAGUGAGCGCUUUUGUGAAGUGUAAAUAGCUUCACGAAUAAGAGCUGGGUAAGACCGGUGCCAGCCGCCGCGGUAACACCGGCAGCUCGAGUGGUGAUCACUAUUAUUGGGCCUAAAGCGUCCGUAGCCGGUUUGGUAAGUCCUUGGGCAAAUCCUGUCGCUUAACGGCAGGAAUUCUGAGGAUACUGUCAGACUUGAGGCCGAGAGAGGUCGGAGGUACUUCUGGGGUAGCGGUGAAAUGCUAUAAUCCUAGAGGGACCACCGGUGGCGAAGGCGUCCGACUAGAGCGGGCCUGACGGUAAGGGACGAAAGCCAGGGGAGCGAGCCGGAUUAGAUACCCGGGUAGUCCUGGCCGUAAACGAUGCAUACUAGGUGAUGGCAUGGCCAUGAGCCGUGUCAGUGCCGUAGGGAAACCGUUAAGUAUGCCGCCUGGGAAGUACGGUCGCAAGGCUAAAACUUAAAGGAAUUGGCGGGGGAGCACCACAAGGGGUGAAGCCUGCGGUUCAAUUGGACUCAACGCCGGGAAACUUACCAGGGGAGACAGUAGAAUGAUGGUCAGGUUGACGACCUUACCUAACGAGCUGAGAGGAGGUGCAUGGCCGUCGCCAGUUCGUGCUGUGAGGUAUCCUGUUAAGUCAGGCAACGAACGAGAUCCGCGCCUUUAUUUGCCAGCAAGAAGUCACGACUUCGUUGGGAACACUAA